rnacentral:rRNA from 1 species
GAUGAACGCUGGCGGCGUGCUUAACACAUGCAAGUCGAACGGUGAAGGCGGAGCUUGCUCUGCUGGAUCAGUGGCGAACGGGUGAGUAACACGUGAGCAAUCUGCCCCUGACUCUGGGAUAAGCGCUGGAAACGGCGUCUAAUACUGGAUACGAGCUGCGAAGGCAUCUUCAGCAGCUGGAAAGAAUUUCGGUCAGGGAUGAGCUCGCGGCCUAUCAGCUUGUUGGUGAGGUAAUGGCUCACCAAGGCGUCGACGGGUAGCCGGCCUGAGAGGGUGACCGGCCACACUGGGACUGAGACACGGCCCAGACUCCUACGGGAGGCAGCAGUGGGGAAUAUUGCACAAUGGGCGAAAGCCUGAUGCAGCAACGCCGCGUGAGGGACGACGGCCUUCGGGCUGUAAACCUCUUUUAGCAGGGAAGAAGCGAAAGUGACGGUACCUGCAGAAAAAGCGCCGGCUAACUACGUG